GGCCGGGUCCCGCACAACGGAGCGCCGCUAAUCCCGCCAGGUCCGAAAGGAAGCAACGGUACCGGAUGCGAUGUGUGAUGUGGGGUGCCCGGUCACC
rnacentral:SRP_RNA from 1 species